rnacentral:rRNA from 1 species
UCUGGAUAAGGGUGAUAAUCCUAGAGCUAAUAGAUGCAAUCAAGUCCCGACCAGUCUGACUGGGAAGGACGCUUUUAUUAGAUCAAGACCAAUCGCCCGGCUCGUCCGGGCGUUGCCUUGGUGACUCUAGGUAACACAUCACAUCGGACGGCCCUCGCACCGGCGACUUAUCCUUCAAAUGCCCGACUUAUCAACUGUCGAUGGUAGACUCCAUGUCUACCAUGGUUGUAACGGGUAACGGGGAAUCAGGGUUCGAUUCCGGAGAGGGAGCCUGAGAAACGGCUACCACAUCCAAGGAAGGCAGCAGGCACGCAAAUUACCCACUCCCGGCACGGGGAGGUAGUGACAAAAAAUAACGAUACGGGACUCUUAUGAGGCCCCGUAAUCGGAAUGAGUACACUUUAAAUCCUUUAACAAGGAUCCAUUGAAGGGCAAGUCUGGUGCCAGCAGCCGCGGUAAUUCCAGCUUCAAUAGCGUAUAUUAAAGUUGUUGCGGUUAAAAAGCUCGUAGUUGGUUCUGCGUGCCACGCUGUCGGUUCGCCGCCUGCCGGUGUAACUGGCAUGCCGUGGCAUGUCCUGUCGGUGGCGUUCGGGAGCCUCGUCUAGGUGACGGCCCUUGCCACAAGCUUGGUGUCCGGAGGCCGGGGGUAUACUCGUUCGCCUACUCUAUCCUACCUAGGUGCUCUUCACCGAGUGUCGAGGUAGGCCGACACGUUUACUUUGAACAAAUUAGAGUGCUCAAAGCAGGCUGAAAUCUCUGCCUGAAUAGUGGUGCAUGGAAUAAUAAAACAGGACCUUGGUUCUAUUUUGUUGGUUCUUAGGAACACAAGGUAAUGAUCAAUACGGACAGGCGGGGGCAUUCGUAUUGCGUCCUCCGAUGAGGCGGGGCCGGGAAACCAAAGCUUUUGGGUUCCGGGGGAAGUAUGGUUGCAAAGCUGAAACUUAAAGGAAUUGACGGAAGGGCACCACCAGGAGUGGAGCCUGCGGCUUAAUUUGACUCAACACGGGAAACCUCACCAGGCCAGGACAUUGGAAGGAUUGACAGAUUGAUAGCUCUUUCUUGAUUCAGUGGGUAGUGGUGCAUGGCCGUUCUUAGUUGGUGGAUCGAUUUGUCUGGUUAAUUCCGAUAACGAACGAGACUCUAGCCUAUUAACUAGGCGGUCCGGUGCCCUUGUCACCGGCGACACUCAUUCUUCUUAAGGGGACAGGCGGCCUAUAGCCGCACGAGAUUGAGCAAUAACAGGUCUGUGAUGCCCUUAGAUGUCCUGGGCCGCACGCGCGCUACACUGAAGGAAUCAGCGUGUGCCUCCCUGGCCGAAAGGCCCGGGUAAUCCGCUGAACCUCCUGCGUGCUAGGAAUUGGGGCUUGCAAUUGUUCCCCAUGAACGAGGAAUUCCCAGUAAGCGCGAGUCAUAAGCUCGCGUUGAUUACGUCCCUGCCCUUUGUACACACCGCCCGUCGCUACUACCGAUUGAAUGAUUUAGUGAGGUCUUCGGACUGGCGGUAAUCCCUACGGGUUUCGACCUGUAUCGAUGAACGCUGGAAAGAUGACCAAACUUGAUCAUUUAGAGGAAGUAAAAGUCGUAACAAGGUUUCC